UAAAAACCCCGACUUCGGAAGGGGUGUAUUUAUUAGAUACAAAACCAAUGCCCUUCGGGGCUCUUUGGUGAUUCAUGAUAACUAUACGAAUCGCACGGCCUUGCGCCGGCGAUGGUUCAUUCAAAUUUCUUCCCUAUCAACUUUCGAUGUUUGGGUAUUGGCCAAACAUGGUUGCAACGGGUAACGGAGGGUUAGGGCUCGACCCCGGAGAAGGAGCCUGAGAAACGGCUACUACAUCCAAGGAAGGCAGCAGGCGCGCAAAUUACCCAAUCCCGACUCGGGGAGGUAGUGACAAUAAAUACUGAUACAGGGCCCUUUCGGGCCUUGUAAUUGGAAUGAGUACAAUUUAAAUCCCUUAGCGAGGAACAAUUGGAGGGCAAGUCUGGUGCCAGCAGCCGCGGUAAUUCCAGCUCCAAUAGCGUAUAUUAAAGUUGUUGUGGUUAAAAAGCUCGUAGUUGAACCUUGGGCCUGGCUGGCCGGUCCGCCUCACCGCGUGCACUGGUCCGGCCGGGCCUUUCCCUCUGUGGAACCCCAUACCCUUCACUGGGCGUGGCGGGGAAACAGGACAUUUACUUU
rnacentral:rRNA from 1 species